rnacentral:rRNA from 1 species
UAAUUGAAGAGUUUGAUCAUGGCUCAGAUUGAACGCUGGCGGCAGGCCUAACACAUGCAAGUCGAGCGGUAACAGGGGAAGCUUGCUUCCCGCUGACGAGCGGCGGACGGGUGAGUAAUGUAUGGGGAUCUGCCCGAUAGAGGGGGAUAACUACUGGAAACGGUAGCUAAUACCGCAUAAUCUCUCAGGAGCAAAGCAGGGGAACUUCGGUCCUUGCACUAUCGGAUGAACCCAUAUGGGAUUAGCUAGUUGGUGAGGUAAUGGCUCACCAAGGCGACGAUCCCUAGCUGGUCUGAGAGGAUGAUCAGCCACACUGGGACUGAGACACGGCCCAGACUCCUACGGGAGGCAGCAGUGGGGAAU